rnacentral:rRNA from 1 species
GACGUAGGGCGCGAGCGUUGUCCGGAUUUAUUGGGCGUAAAGGGCGUGCAGGCGGUCUGCUAAGUCUAGGGUGAAAGCUCCCGGCUCAACUGGGAGAGUCCUUGGAUACUGGCGGACUUGAGGGAGGUAGAGGAGAGUGGAAUUCCCGGUGUAGUGGUGAUAUGCGUAGAUAUCGGGAGGAACACCAGUGGCGAAGGCGGCUCACUGGACCGGAACUGACGCUGAGGCGCGAAAGCGUGGGGAGCAAACGGG